CGCGAUCAAAAUGGCGCUCCCACAAUCCCGCCUCUCACGUUCUUUCCUGAACUAAGUUGUUAUCGCGAGAUUUUGGCUCCACUAUUAGCUGGGUGGCGCGGUUGGCUCUGUCCUUUUUCUUCUGCGAGGUUGACGAGAAAUUUGGUGAAAGCAAAAGAACAAGUGACGGACUCGGAGGGACUGAGAGGGACUCGGAAUACCUAUCAGCAAUGGAUUCUCUGGACUAUAUAACAGCAUCGGAUUCAGCUAUGGAAAAUGAAAAUCAAAGCGAUAACUCUUCCUCUGGUAGCAGCUUAUUUAAAACUCAAUAUGUUCCUUGCUCACCUAAACGGAGGCAAAGAAAUCCUGUUAAAAAAUGUGUUAGUUCACUUGAAAGUGUUCAAGCAAGAGAUUCAUCCAGUGAUUCGUCUUUAGAACCAAGACCAUUGACUUUGAAAGCUAUUUUUGAAAGAUUCAAGAAAAAGAAACGUAGAAAGAGGAAAUAUAAGCCAACAGGAAGACCGAGAGGAAGACCAGAAGGAAGGAAAAGCACUAGGUCAAAAAUAAAUAAGAAACAACUUAAAGAUAACAGACCCCAGUUGCCUUUUUUAGAAUCAGAGAAUGGAAGAAAACCAUUACCUUGGAGAAAUAUUUUAACGUUUGAGCAAGCAGUGGCAAGAGGAUUUUUCAACUACCUGGAAAAACUGAAGUAUGAAUACCACCUCAAGGAAUCCUUAAAACAGAUGAAUGUUGGUGAAGAUUUAGAAAAAGAUGACCUUGAUAGUCGUAGAUAUAAAUACUUGGAUGAUGAUGGAUCUCUCUCUCCUAUUGAAGAUCCAGUGGGAGAGGAUGAGGUUGAAACAAACCUUGAACAUGAUGAAUGUGAUAUCAAAUUGGUGGAGAAUAAUUACUUCAUAAUAAGUUCUGAAUUACCAAAGAAGAUGAAUGUGUAUUUAGAACAAGAAUAUACUGGAGAAGCUGCUUUGUCUAAAAAGAGAGUAUCAAAGUGCAAAAACUUUGGACAGAAGACAGAACAGCCUGAAAAGGAGAUAGGAAUAUGAAUAUCAAGGGCAUUAUGUUGAAAACACAGUUUUUGGACUUAAAGGUUUUUCUAUAUCUCGAAGAUCUGUACAAUUCUAGAUAGUGAUAACUUAGGACUGAUAUGACAUGUACUUACUUAAUGUUUACAGGGUGUCUAAAAUUGAGAAACCAGGCAGAUCCAUCUACUCUGACCCUAACUGGCCCUAAAGUAAAUUGCUUGAGGAAAUUGGGCCCCAACAAUUACAGGUGGGGAGUUUUUGAAAUAUGUCCAUAUGCAAGUGGAAAUCAAAGAUCAACUAGAAGAAUUAUGGCAAGUUAUUCGUCUUUUUAUAUUAUACACCAAAUUAUUUGUUAGAGUGUAAUGGUCAUUACCAAGGCUUUUAGAAUGCAGUUUCUCAUUUGCCGUGGACAUGACCACAAAAUAUUUUCCCACUAGGUUUUUUUCUGCUAUAUUGCUAGCAUUCAGCCUAUUGGGAACAUUUUUUUAACUCUUAACUUAUUUUCACUGCCUAGGUCAGCACUGUACUAUAUAAAUACAACACAAGCUGUAUGUGCUUUUGUAAUAGCCAUUGGUAAUCAGUGAGAUUUUAAUAAUUGCUGUCAGAUUUCUAGAGUCUUCCAGAUGACCUUUGUCUAGCUAAUCCUUCUAGGGUGCUUAGUGACCAAAUAGUUUGUCAUCACAUGACCAUCUCUUCCUGUUACAUAGGACCAAUGGUCAUGGCAAGUGACUGGAUUGAGCCAAAAAGGAAUUAAAACUUAAACUCAUGAGGAACCAAGGACUCAGAACAUGUGAAAUUCCUUAAAUAAAAAUUUAUUAACUUUAAAUAAUUGUAUCUAUGUUACAGAUAAUAAAAACUCUUUACACUUUUUGUACAAAGUCA